GAACGCUGGCGGCGUGCUUAACACAUGCAAGUCGAGCGGAAAGGCCCUUCGGGGUACUCGAGCGGCGAACGGGUGAGUAACACGUGAGCAACCUGCCCUAGGCUUUGGGAUAACCCCGGGAAACCGGGGCUAAUACCGAAUAGAACCUCUGGCCGCAUGGCCGGGGGUGGAAAGUUUUUCGGCCUGGGAUGGGCUCGCGGCCUAUCAGCUUGUUGGUGGGGUGAUGGCCUACCAAGGCGACGACGGGUAGCCGGCCUGAGAGGGCGACCGGCCACACUGGGACUGAGACACGGCCCAGACUCCUACGGGAGGCAGCAGUGGGGAAUAUUGCACAAUGGGCGGAAGCCUGAUGCAGCGACGCCGCGUGAGGGAUGACGGCCUUCGGGUUGUAAACCUCUUUCAGCAGGGACGAAGCGUAAGUGACGGUACCUGCAGAAGAAGCGCCGGCCAACUACGUGCCAGCAGCCGCGGUAAGACGUAGGGCGCGAGCGUUGUCCGGAUUUAUUGGGCGUAAAGAGCUCGUAGGCGGC
rnacentral:rRNA from 1 species